rnacentral:rRNA from 1 species
GUCCAUGCUGUAAACGAUGAGAACUGGAUGUUGGGUGCUUGCACCUUAGUAUCGUAGCUAACGCGAUAAGUUUCCGCCUGGGAGUACGGUCGCAAGAUUAAACUCAAAGGAAUUGACGGGGCCCGCACAAGCGGUGGAGCAUGUGGUUAAUUCGAUGCAACCCGAAAACCUUACCUACCUUUGAAUCCACAGAACGGGGCAGAGAUGCCCUUGGUGCCGCAAGGAACUGUGAGACAGGUGCUGCAUGGCUGUCGU